UCCGGAUGAACACCUUAGAUGACGAGUCCGACGUCGCACACGCACGGUCGGUCAUCGACUGUGCGGACGUUUGACGAGACUCUUUUCAAAUACCAUUCAUGCUUUUCUGAUC
rnacentral:snoRNA from 1 species